rnacentral:rRNA from 1 species
GACGGGGGGGGCAAGCGUUGUCCGGAAUCAUUGGGCGUAAAGAGCGUGUAGGCGGCCCGAUAAGUCCGCUGUGAAAGUCCAGGGCUCAACCCUGGAAUGCCGGUGGAUACUGUCGGGCUCGAAUCCGGAAGAGGUGAGUGGAAUUCCUGGUGUAGCGGUGAAAUGCGCAGAUAUCAGGAGGAACACCAAUGGCGAAGGCAGCUCACUGGGACGGUAUUGACGCUGAGACGCGAAAGCGUGGGGAGCAAACAGG